UACAGAGGUGCCGAGCGUUAGGCGGAAUCACUGGGCUUAAAGCGUGUGUAGGCGGAUGCCUAAGUACCUUGUGAAAUCCCACAGCUCAACUGUGGAACUGCUUGGUAUACUGGGUGUCUUGAGCCACUUAGGGGCUACCGGAACAAAUGGUGGAGCGGUGAAAUGCGUAGAUAUCAUUUGGAACGCCAAUGGUGAAAACAGGUUGCUGGGGGUGUGCUGACGCUGAGACACGAAAGCCAGGGGAGCGAACGGG
rnacentral:rRNA from 1 species